AAACAGAACACACUAACUAAAGGGCUCCCGUGUUCAAGCUCACCUUCCCCCAGUGCCUUCCAUCAGUUUCUACCACUGAAAGAUUUAAAUUCUGGCCAAUUAUGGAGAGGGGAAAAAAAUCUCUCCUGUGAAACAGUGCCUGUAAAGUCUGGCUUCCACCCAAGCCACAGGAACUUUAAACAGUCUGCGCGCUCAGCGGCCACAGACAGGUUCAAACCGAGUGGGAUGAAAGCUAUUCCCAGGCUUUUAAUCUGAGGUCGCAGAAACCCUUCAAGUUUCCCCGUCUCUCUCAGAGGGUUCAUGAGGAAAAUAACACUGAGUUGUUCUGUGACCUCUGCCCACUGAUGGGAAAAUAAUUCCAGUUAUUAUGUUUCAUUGAUGGCCACAUAAGUUCCAUCAACUGUAAAGCAAAACAAAGGUAGAGUGGACUGUAAAGCCCACGCUGGAGAUCAUGUCAGCACUCAGAACAGAAUUAAGAUAAUUUCAGUUUCAUUUUGGCAAAAGAGUACAUUCACUCAGGUCUUUCCUACUUUGCCCAUGAAAAAGUUAGCAGUCUGAUUAAUGAUAUCAAGGCUUUGGAAUAAUAGGAACAAGAAGGUGUGCCAGAAACACAUUGAUAUGAAGCUUAAACCAGCUUAAACCAUUCUCAAAAAAUAAUUAAAAACAACUUCUAACAAAAGGGUACCUGUGGGGAAUCGCUAACACUGAAGUUGGAAUAAAACUCUGGAUUGUCAUAGACUGAGGAGAACUAUGAGCUUUCAGUCAAACACUAUCAGUGCAGCAUAGGAAGGACCUAUGGGUGAAAAUGCUCAAAGAGAGAAACUUUACACAGGGAUAUGGGAAACCCAAUGAUAAACGAAAAUAAUUUCAAACACCAGCUGCAUGCUCAUCAGUUGGACAUCAACAUCUUGCAGGCUAGUCAAGGGAGACUUCCAUCCUCCUAUUCCUCUCUUCUUUACUCCUGUUAUUUAUGAAGUGAAGGAAAUGUAGUGGAAUUCAAACAGAAACAUACUAGUAUAUCUUUUUCACCUUUCUACCUAAAGAUAUGAUAGGAAGAAAAUAUUUUAAGUAAAUUUUGUAAUACCC
rnacentral:lncRNA from 1 species